rnacentral:rRNA from 1 species
UACGUAGGGUGCAAGCGUUAAUCGGAAUUACUGGGCGUAAAGCGUGCGCAGGCGGUCGUGCAAGACAGAUGUGAAAUCCCCGGGCUCAACCUGGGAACUGCAUUUGUGACUGCACGGCUGGAGUGCGGCAGAGGGGGAUGGAAUUCCGCGUGUAGCAGUGAAAUGCGUAGAUAUGCGGAGGAACACCGAUGGCGAAGGCAAUCCCCUGGGCCUGCACUGACGCUGAGGCACGAAAGCGUGGGGAGCAAACAGG